GGAGGUAAAAGACCUGUACCCUGAAAAUUACAAAAUGUUGAUAAAAGUAAUUGAAGAUGAGGUCAGAGACUAGGGCCAAAAGUGGCCCUAACAGGGUCCUCCCUGAGUUUGGGGGAGGUGAGUUCCCAGAGAAUGGAGCUCUGUGUGAUGGCAGACUAGGCAGGAGAUGCCAUGGACCCUGCCUUUGGGGAGGGGCCUGGAAGAUGCCUCCUUAGCUGGAGCUUAGAAAAGACUCACUGCCAGUGAAGUGAGGUACCCACCACGGGGGAACCUUAUAACCCAACUCAGAAUACUCUACCCUGCC
ensembl:ribozyme RNaseP_nuc Nuclear RNase P